GAUGAACGCUGGCGGCGUGCCUAAUACGUGCAAGUAGAACGCUGAAGGAGGAGCUUGCUCUUCUGGAUGAGUUGCGAACGGGUGAGUAACGCGUAGGUAACCUGCCUGGUAGCGGGGGAUAACUAUUGGAAACGAUAGCUAAUACCGCAUGACAACAGCUAUUGCAUGAUAACUGUUUAAAAGGGGCAACUGCUCCACUACCAGAUGGACCUGCGGUGUAUUAGCUAGUUGGUGAGGUAACGGCUCACCAAGGCGACGAUACAUAGCCGACCGGAGAUGGUGAUCAGCCACACUGAGACGGUGACACGGCCCAGAGGCCUACGGGAGGCAGCAGUAGGGAAUCUGCGGCAAUGGACGGAAGACUGACCGAGAAACGCCGCGGGAGGGAAGAAGGAUGUCGGAUCGGAAAGCUCGGUUGUAAGAGAAGAACGAGUGUGAGAGUGGAAAGUUCACACUGUGACGGUAUCUUAUCAGAAAGGGACGGCUAACUACGUG
rnacentral:rRNA from 1 species